UCUCUCGUCUAAACCUAAACCUAAACCUCCACCAUCUCUCUCAACCUCAUCUGCCUCUUCUCCUUCUUAGAUCGACGCCCUUCUUCUCCGUCCGCGUCGCAUCAAAAAAAGCACCGCCUGCGAGCGAGCUCCUCUCCGCGAGCCCUAGCCACCUUCCUCUCCGCGAGCGAGCUCCUCUCCGCGAGCCACCGCCCUCUCCACGAGCGAGCUCCUCUUCGCGACCAGCCACCUUCCUCGCCGCCGUUCUUCUCCUCAGCUUCAUCCGGGUGGGUUUUCACCCCGUUCCUGCUUCCUCCUCUGGCGCCCCUUGGUAGGUCGGGGGAUGAGGUGAUUGAUAGAAGGGUGGCGCGGUUGGACCCGGGGAGCGUGCUCGAUGGGUAGGUUAGGGUUCCGGGUGGCGUUGGGGUGUGCGGCCGUGUCGUGCGCCAUCGCUGCGGCGCUAGUUGGUCGGAGGCUGAGGAGCAGGAGGCAGUGGAGCCGAGCGGUGGAGCUGGUGAGGGAGUUCGAGGAGGCGUGCGCCACCCCUGUCGGGAGGCUGCGUCAGGUGGUCGAUGCCAUGGCGGUGGAGAUGCACGCAGGGCUCGCGUCGGAUGGGGGUAGCAAGCUCAAGAUGUUGCUGACCUUCAUCGAUAAACUUCCCGAUGGCAUGGAUCCCGAACACAAAAGGGAAUCAAUCGAGAAAUACCAGGGGCCUUCUCAGUCCUAAGAUUGACAUUUUUCUGGUAUUGGUGAACUUACAUGUGUCCAUUUACAUGGCAUUUCGAGAUUCUUGGAUCAUUUCUGCUCAUAUCAUAUGCUUGCUCUCGGUGCCUGGGUAGAAAGCUAAUUCACUGUUGAUUCGUCGUCUAGCUAAAGAAUAUGCAAGCUAGAAUAACUGGCCACUGCUGUACAGAACUAGGGAGCAGAGGUAGAUGUAAAAAGGCUAACUAAGAGGCCUACUCCUCCUCGAUUUGGUCGCACCUUGACUGAAGCACAAAAG